AUAGUGUCCAAAGCCAGAGAAAUUACUUUGGCAUGUGAAGGAGGAAAAUGGCAGAAACAUCUCUUUCCAUCCUUGGCAGUAAAAAUACAGUAACCACCAAUUAGGUAAUUUAACAACAUAUAGCUCUUUCACAACAAAAUCUGCUGUCUGAUGUGAAUGCUUUACUCCAUCUAAUGGUAGGGCUGGCCUUGCUCCCUCUCUAGUCCUUGCAUCCUGCCAACCCUCAAGUUCAUGACUCUCUUUUUAUGAUGGUAACUGGUUUCUGAUGUCACAAUGAAAUGUCACAGCACCUGUGUAUUUAACAUUACUUGGGGCUCCCCAAACCCUAAAGGGGCCAGUAGCAUCUCAGAGACAGAGGGAGCAGCCAUCUUUCUCUCAGCUAUCUUGCCUGUGUGCUACAGACUCUACUGCUGAAACUCUUGUAGAGCCACCUGAAGGAAUAUGAAGGCCUUAGAAAAGAAGAAAGAAUGUUCCAAGAUCAAUGAUGGGGAGAAUGGAGCAUCUCAAACAAGCAAUUUGGUACACAUCAGGAGCCACCUAAGGAGGAUAAUCAAGAAGUUGGUUCUGCUUAAAAUGCUCAAGACCCACAAUCGCAGAAUCAAGUGUCUCUGUGAAUUAGCCCGCAAAUACCGAAAGACAUUAGCACUUGGGAGCCCUCUGGACAUCUCUGCCUCCCCCUCAGGGUGAGUGAGUGUAGAUCAAACCAAUUCUCUGUGUGUUUUACUAGAACACAAAAAUUUAAGAUCUCUUCUUAUCUUUGAUUGUGUAAGAGAAAAGACUGGCCAUUAUUUUGAUUUUUUAAGAAUGUCUAAGGCUAAACUACAUGUUGUACUAACUAUGCAAGCGUUAGUCCCCAUCACUGGCCAAAAACAGAACAAGGAACCAACACUUUUCCAAUUUUGUUAAACUUCCUCUUUCUGCCUGACUAAGAUUGAUUCUUUCUUACUCAAAUAACCAGGGAAAUGACUGUUUUUCAAGCCUGCAUAUUACAAAGAACAGAAACUAUCACUCUCUAGCUCUUUCUACAUUUGAAGGAAGCCAUGGAGAAUGAAGAGAUAAAAGAAUGAAUUUGAAAAUUUAUAAUAUUUCAGCAUAUACAGCAAUGUUUCCUGACCAGGGGAUUGUGACCCCCAGGGGGUCAUGAAGUGUUUUCUGGGGGUUUGUGCGGGUUAAAUAAUUGUUAAGUAAUAUCUUUCUUGACCUUUUGGAGAGGGAUAUUAAAGUUUAAUGUAUGUGUGUAUGUAUGAAAAAGAGACCCUUUGGAGGAGGAAGAAACCUUUCUGAGAAGAGAUGACUUUACUCUAUUAAAUAUGCCUUUUUAUGCAAAUAUGGGGGGAUCACAGGUUACUUAACUCUUAUAAAAAGGGGGGUCGCAACUAAAAAAUGUUGGGAACCACUGCUGUAGAGGGACUCCCAAAUAUCUGCACCAUUUCUUGGAUAAUUGAGAAAAGUCUUCCUAAUUCAGAGUUAACUGCAAUUCUGACCAAAAACAGGAAAUGCUGUUUAUUUGAACUGUAACAUCUAGCACCUCACAGUCUGUAUCGCCACAGUCCAUGUUGACCUUUUCUGAUUGUGCUCUCAGUACCAGCUUGGUCAAUCCAGUCAAUCUUGUUAAGUAUUAAGUUUUUGUCAAUCUAUAUGACAAACUGGAACAUAGUUCCACAGUUUAUGCACCAGGUUAUCCAAGAAAUGACAAAAACACAGCAAUUUUACUCUGUUUAGGCUUUUUAGUCAAACAUUCAGAUACCUUUUUAGAGGUUUUGCUUUUUUCCCCCGCAGUGGAUCCCCAUCAGGUCCUCCUUUGAUUUCUCUGUUCCUAGAUCUUUCUUGCUUGUAUUGAAUUGCAUUAUUGCCCAAAGCCACACUAUGUUCCCAGUACCUCUAGGGCAGUGAGGGUGAACUUUUUUGGGCCUGAGUGCCCAAACUGAAAAAAAGGAAAGAAACCCAGCGGGUGGCAGGCAGUGGUGGCAGCGGAAGUGGCAGCAGUGGAAGCAGUAGUGGCGGUGGAAGGAGGAACCCCAGGCAUGGAGGUACCUUGAGACCCCACUCCAGACCCACCACCAGCACCAAGUUCUCCGGAUCCUGGCCUGCUGCCACCUGUUGCAGCACUAGCACUGCAGCUGCAGCCGCCUUCUCAGGUUUGGCGAUCUGGCGACUAAUGGCUCACACACCUGCAGAGAGGGCUCUGCAUGCCAGCUGUGGCACAUGUGCCAUACGUUUGCCAUCAAAUAAAUAAACAAACAAACAAACA
ensembl:lncRNA